AACCUGCGGAGGGAUCAUUACACAAAUAUGAAGGCGGGCUGGAAUCUCUCGGGGUUACAGCCUUGCUGAAUUAUUCACCCUUGUCUUUUGCGUACUUCUUGUUUCCUUGGUGGGUUCGCCCACCACUAGGACAAACAUAAACCUUUUGUGAAUUGCAAUCAGCGUCAGUAACAAAUUAAUAAUUACAACUUUCAACAACGGAUCUCUUGGUUCUGGCAUCGAUGAAGAACGCAGCGAAAUGCGAUAAGUAGUGUGAAUUGCAGAAUUCAGUGAAUCAUCGAAUCUUUGAACGCACAUUGCGCCCUUUGGUAUUCCAAAGGGCAUGCCUGUUCGAGCGUCAUUUGUACCCUCAAGCUUUGCUUGGUGUUGGGCGUCUUGUCUCUAGCUUUGCUGGAGACUCGCCUUAAAGUAAUUGGCAGCCGGCCUACUGGUUUCGGAGCGCAGCACAAGUCGCACUCUCUAUCAGCAAAGGUCUAGCAUCCAUUAAGCCUUUUUUCAACUUUUGACCUCGGAUCAGGUAGGGAUACCCGCUGAACUUAAGCAUAUC
rnacentral:rRNA from 1 species